rnacentral:rRNA from 1 species
UACGAAGGGGGCUAGCGUUGUUCGGAAUUACUGGGCGUAAAGCGUGCGCAGGCGGUUUUGUAAGUCUGACGUGAAAUCCCCGGGCUCAACCUGGGAAUUGCGUUGGAGACUGCAAGGCUUGAAUCUGGCAGAGGGGGGUAGAAUUCCACGUGUAGCAGUGAAAUGCGUAGAGAUGUGGAGGAACACCGAUGGCGAAGGCAGCCCCCUGGGUCAAGAUUGACGCUCAUGCACGAAAGCGUGGGGAGCAAACAGG